rnacentral:tRNA from 1 species
GGGGGAUUAGCUCAGCUGGGAGAGCGUCGCGCUGGCAGCGCGAAGGUCGUCGGUUCGAUCCCGUCAUCCUCCA